rnacentral:misc_RNA from 1 species
CUUUUUUUUUUUUUUUUAAUGAAAAAUAAAAUGCUUAAUUUAAUGAUGUUGGCAAAUUUGUGAAUGACAUUAAUUGUUGUUUUUCCUUAAUUUGGUCAAAAAAGAUUAUAACUUCAAUUGUUUAGACAUUUUUCGUGUUGGUUUUAAUUAAAUGUCUGUGAUAUUAGCAUUGUUGGUUGUGCAGAGCUUUUACAAGGUUUUAAUGGUUUAAAAUUUAAAUAGGCAAGUGUAGCUUAUUUAACCGUAUUUAUAACUUUAUUUACAGCAACUAUGUUAAUUGUGCUUGUUUGCAAUUUUAGCUAGAAGAUGGUAUGAACUUUUAAGAAUUCCCUAAAGAAGUAUUUUUGAAGAAUUAUUUGUUGAAAGAAAUGGCGCUUUUAUAAUAAGGAAUUAUUGAAAAUUAUUUUUAGGAAUCCAUUACUUGACGAUACUUGGACUGAAUACUUAUUCUGCUAUACUGUUUCUUAUUUUUACAGGGUGAAGUAGAGUGCAUAAUUCUAUUUUUGGUAAUUGAAUGAUUAGGGUAGUGUUCAGUUGCAGUUUUUAUGACAUAUAAUUGAUCACAAGAUAUUUCCUCAAUGGGGGGAGCU